rnacentral:rRNA from 1 species
GACGAACGCUGGCGGCGUGGAUUAGGCAUGCAAGUCGAACGGUAUCAUCCUUUCGGGGGUGAGAGAGUGGCGAACUGGUGAGUAACACGUAGGUUAUCUACCCUCAAGACGGGGACAACCCAGGGAAACUUGGGCUAAUACCGGAUGUGAGCAACUUUUAGUUGUUUGAAAGGUGGCGUAAGCUGUCGCUUGGGGAUGAGCCUGCGUCCUAUUAGUUAGUUGGUGAGGUAACGGCUCACCUAGGCAAUGAUAGGUAGGCGGCCUUAACGGGUGGUCGCCCACACUGGGAUUGAGAUACGGCCCAGACUCCUACGGGAGGCAGCAGUCGAGAAUAGUCUACAAUGGUCGGAAGACUGAUAGUGCGACGCCGCGUAGAACGAUGAAUCCCUUCGGGUGUAAAGUUCUUUUAGUAUGUGAGCAGUGCUUCUUAUAUUAACAGUAUGGGGAGAGAGAUAUUAGCAUAUAGAAUAAGCAACGGUCUAACUCCGUGCCAGCAGCCGACGGU